GCGGGCGUCGUAUAGUGGCUAUUAUAUUACCUUGCCAAGGUAGAGACGGGAGUUCGAUUCUCCUCGCCCGCUCCA
rnacentral:tRNA from 1 species